rnacentral:misc_RNA from 1 species
ACAAACCCAAAGUUUAAUUGACCAGAGGAUCAAAGAACAUCUUGGUCAAGCUGCAGCAUUCCAGCAGGUUGGUGCAGCCUAUAAUCAGCAUUUACUUGGCCAAAGACCUCGUCUUCCUGUACUACCUACUCCGGUAAUGCCGGGAGCUGCCCCGGGGUUAAUGCCUGGAAUUAGGCCUCCAGUUUUGCCGAGACCUAUUCCUGGUGCUCCAGGAUAUGUACCUGCUCCUACAAUGCCACCUAUGAUGGGCCCGCCCGGAGCUCCUAUGCCUGGCCAAGUGAAUAUUCCUUCCAGGCCGCCUCCUCCAGCGCCAAUUCCAGGGAGUGCACCUCAACCAUCUUCAACCAAUGGUGCACCAUUGGCUGCACCAUCGAUGUAUCAAGCAAAUCCAACAGCACCAGGAAGCGGAGGGUAUGAUAGUUUCA